rnacentral:tRNA from 1 species
AGUAGAAUGGCUGAGUAUAGGUGAAGGAUUGUAAACCUUUUUAAGAGUUGUUAAUACUCUUCUACUA